GACCCAGACUCCUACGGGAGGCAGCAGUCGGGAAUAUUGCGCAAUGGAGGAAACUCUGACGCAGUGACGCCGCGUAUAGGAAGAAGGUUUUCGGAUUGUAAACUAUUGUCAUUAGGGAAGAUAAAAGACUGUACCUAAGGAGGAAGCCCCGGCUAACUACGUGCCAGCAGCCGCGGUAAUACGUAGGGGGCAAGCGUUAUCCGGAUUUACUGGGUGUAAAGGGAGCGUAGACGGCGAUGCAAGUCUGAAGUGAAAGGCGGGGGCCCAACCCCCGGACUGCUUUGGAAACUGUAUGGCUGGAGUGCAGGAGAGGUAAGUGGAAUUCCUAGUGUAGCGGUGAAAUGCGUAGAUAUAAGGAGGAACACCAGUGGCGAAGGCGGUCUGCUGGACAGCAACUGACGGUGAGGCGCGAAAGCGUGGGGAGCAAACAGGAUUAGAUACCCCAGUA
rnacentral:rRNA from 1 species